rnacentral:miRNA from 1 species
ACCCCAUGAUGAAUCUCUGAAG